GACGAACGCUGGCGGCGUGCUUAACACAUGCAAGUCGAACGGAAAGGCCCUGCUUUUGUGGGGUGCUCGAGUGGCGAACGGGUGAGUAACACGUGAGUAACCUGCCCUUGACUUUUGGAUAACUUCAGGAAACUGGGGCUAAUACCGCAUAGGAGCUCCUGCUGCAUGGUGGGGGUUGGACAGUUUCGGCGGUUGGGGAUGGACUCGCGGCUUAUCAGCUUGUUGGUGGGGUAGUGGCUUACCAAGGCUUUGACGGGUAGCCGGCCUGAGAGGGUGACCGGCCACAUUGGGACUGAGAUACGGCCCAGACUCCUACGGGAGGCAGCAGUGGGGAAUAUUGCACAAUGGGCGGAAGCCUGAUGCAGAAACGCCGCGUGCGGGAUGAAGGCCUUCGGGUGGUAAACCGCUUUCGCCUGUGACGAAGCGUGAGUGACGGUAAUGGGUAAAGAAGCACCGGCUAACUACGUG
rnacentral:rRNA from 1 species